CCUACGGGAGACAGCAGUGGGGAAUAUUGCACAAUGGGGGAAACCCUGAUGCAGCGACGCCGCGUGAGUGAAGAAGUAUUUCGGUAUGUAAAGCUCUAUCAGCAGGGAAGAAAAUGACGGUACCUGAUUAAGAAGCCACGGCUAACUACGUGCCAGCAGCCGCGGUAAUACGUAGGGUGCAAGCGUUAUGCGGAUUUACUGGGUGUAAAGGGAGCGUAGACGGCAGCACAAGUCUGGAGUGAAAUGCCCGGGCUUAACCCGGGAACUGCUUUGGAAACUGGGCAGCUAGAGUGCAUGAGAGGGAAGUGGAAUUCCUAGUGUAGCGGUGAAAUGCGUAGAGAUUAGGAGGAACACCAGUGGCGAAGGCGGCUUACUGGACUGUAACUGACGUUGAGGCGCGAAAGCGUGGGGAGCAAACAGGAUUAGAUACCCGUGUAGUC
rnacentral:rRNA from 1 species